rnacentral:lncRNA from 1 species
AAUUCACUUGUCUGUGUUCUGAAAACCAAGAUGAAGGUCAGUCACCAGAGACAUAUAUGAGAUAUAUGAGCUCUCCUCAUCUCCAGGAAGUCCUCAGUGGUCCCUUUCCAGAGACAGAGGGAAGAAUCCAAGUUUCUAGUUCAAAGAGAAUCAAGUGAGGAUGUGAGAGUGUGAGGAAGCUUUUCUUCUUUUUAAUUCUACUUGUGAGCUUGCUGGAUGAAUUAGAUGUACAUAUGCUUCUGUUUUGGCUUGUAUUGUUUUAUAUAUAUACAUAUAUAUGCAUGUAUGUAAUGUGGAUACACCCACACACAUCUAUACAUAAACACAUAUUGGAAGAGUGCCAUUAUAUUGGUGUUUCAAUCAAGAUGUAUGUGAUUACUAUGAGUUUCAGAAACAAAAAUAUUAAAAAGUUUUUAUUGUAACAAAAAUAUUUUGGACAAAAGGUUAAGAUAAUUCAGAAGAUAACUUUGUAGUUUAUAUACUGAUUAAUCCGAAUAAUUAAUUCUCUUUAAGUAAUUGCUUUUUUUUAAAAUCACACUGAAGAUUUCCACUGAGCUGGAAUGAAUUGCCUUAUUUUAUUACAUGAUUAUAAUGUCAAAUAGUGCAAAUUUGAAUAAGUGUGACCUCUUCAGAGGAUUCAUUAUUUGCACUAAUAAGGACCUAGAUUUAUUUUCUUCAUCUCUUAAUUUUUUUUAUAAAUGACUUAUCUCUCUUGCUCACAUACUUAUUUUCUUUUUAGAUGCUGUUUUUUGUUGGGGUUCAGUCAUUUUCAGUCGUGUCCAACUCUUCAUGACCUCAUUUGGGACUUUUUGGAGUCAUCAAAGUUCAGUGGCAAGAAAAAAGUCAAGACUACUGAUGAUGGCCAGGAGGCAGUGGAUGACCUUGGCAUCUUUGAUGUCUGACGAAGCUCUAAGCUUUCUCCAAUGUCUAUUUCAGCUACCUUCAUGGCCACUGGCACGCAUUGUUUUCAUUUAUCCAUUCUGCCAGGGGAAGUCUUCAUGCGCUUGUGGUAGACUUUCCACCAACUCACUGACGGAUUUGAGAGCUGCUGGCUUCCCUCAACUUCGUUUAGUCCAUCCACUGAGAUGGUUUUACUGGGGAGGAAAUGCUGAUUCUACUGCCUGCUGCAAAAUACACAUGAUGUUCUCCUUUGACUGCUUCCUGAUACCCCAGCUGCUGGCUGCAAACCUCUGCAGCCUGCUUGCCGUUUUCUAUGCAUGCUUGCCGUACCAAGUUCUCCAGAAGGGGUAAGUGGAGAGAGGGAAACGCCAGUUACUAAGACAAGGAAGGGUGCCUAGGCUGAGACGCUAACUUGUGUGGAAACCCAGCAUUCCUUCUGGACAACAACCAUCAGGUCCCAGCCAGGAAAGCGCUUGGAGUCCACCCUGUUUCCAAGUUUCUAAGUGCCCUGGAGGGUGUGCAAAUAGAAAUGGGAUACACCUGAACUACAUUUGCCCAGCAUCCUUUUAAGUUACGUCCUCACUUUGCAUCCUGACAUUUGGGAGAGAAAGUUUGCUGAAACCCACGCUGCGGAGCUUUCUGGGUUUUUGCUUUGGUAAAGCGCUGCAGGUGAGAGUCUGGCUCUGUGCUCUACUCACUCGGCAGAAGGAACACCGUUCUCUCUCUCUCUUUGUUGUUAUUAAAUCCUAUA